rnacentral:rRNA from 1 species
UGGGGAAUAUUGCACAAUGGACGGAAGUUUGAUGCAGCGACGCCGCGUGGAGGGUGUAGGUCUUCGGUUUGUGAACUCCUUUUUCUCGCGAAAAAGGCACAGUUUUGGCUGUGUUGAUGGUAGUGGGGGAAGAAGCGCCGGCUAACUACGUGCCAGCAGCCGCGGUAAUACGUAGGGCGCGAGCGUUGUCCGGAUUUAUUGGGCGUAAAGAGCUCGUAGGUGGUUCGUCGCGUCUGUCGUGAAAGCCAGCAGCUUAACUGUUGGUCUGCGGUGGGUACGGGCGGGCUUGAGUGCGGUAGGGGUGACUGGAAUUCCUGGUGUAGCGGUGGAAUGCGCAGAUAUCAGGAGGAACACCGAUGGCGAAGGCAGGUCACUGGGCCGUUACUGACACUGAGGAGCGAAAGCGUGGGGAGCGAACAGG